GAUGAACGCUGGCGGCGUGCCUAAUACAUGCAAGUCGAGCGGACGGACAAGAAGCUUUCUUCCUUGCUGUUAGCGGCGGACGGGCGAGUAACACGUACAUCACCUUCUUCUUAUUCUUGGAUAACUUCGGAAAACCGGAGACAAUACUAGCUCAUACUUUGUACGGCUUGGAUCAAAAGUUCAACACGGCUUUCCCGUCUCAUUUAGCUGGUUUCGCGCUGCAUUAGCUAGUUGGUAAGGUAACGGCUUACCAAGGCAACGAUGCUUAGCCGACCUGAGAGGGUGAUCGGCCACACUGGAACUGAGACACGGUCCAGACUCCUACGGGAGGCAGCAGUAGGGAAUAUUCCGCAAUGGGCGAAAGCCUGACGGAGCAACGCCGCGUGAGUGAUGAAGGUCUUCGGAUCGUAAAACUCUGUUAUUGGGGAAGAACAUAUGUGUAAGUAACUGUGCACAUCUUGACGGUACCUAAUCAGAAAGCCACGGCUAACUACGUG
rnacentral:rRNA from 1 species